UACAGAGGGGGCAAGCGUUAUUCGGAAUUAUUGGGCGUAAAGGGCGCGUAGGCGGCCUGGUAAGUGGAUGGUGAAAUCCCUCGGCUUAACCGAGGAACUGCCAUCCAGACUGCUUGGCUUGAGACCGGGAGAGGUGAGUGGAAUUCCCAGUGUAGCGGUGAAAUGCGUAGAUAUUGGGAGGAACACCAGUGGCGAAGGCGGCUCACUGGACCGGUACUGACGCUGAUGCGCGAAAGCGUGGGGAGCAAACGGG
rnacentral:rRNA from 1 species